rnacentral:rRNA from 1 species
ACAGCCCCGUACACAAAAAUGCACAUACUGUGAGCUCGAUGAGUAGGGCGGGACACGUGGUAUCCUGUCUGAAUAUGGGGGGACCAUCCUCCAAGGCUAAAUACUCCUGACUGACCGAUAGUGAACCAGUACCGUGAGGGAAAGGCGAAAAGAACCCCGGCGAGGGGAGUGAAAAAGAACCUGAAACCGUGUACGUACAAGCAGUGGGAGCCUCUUUAUGGGGUGACUGCGUACCUUUUGUAUAAUGGGUCAGCGACUUAUAUUCUGUAGCAAGGUUAACCGAAUAGGGGAGCCGAAGGGAAACCGAGUCUUAACUGGGCGUUAAGUUGCAGGGUAUAGACCCGAAACCCGGUGAUCUAGCCAUGGGCAGGUUGAAGGUUGGGUAACACUAACUGGAGGACCGAACCGACUAAUGUUGAAAAAUUAGCGGAUGACUUGUGGCUGGGGGUGAAAGGCCAAUCAAACCGGGAGAUAGCUGGUUCUCCCCGAAAGCUAUUUAGGUAGCGCCUCGUGAAUUCAUCUCCGGGGGUAGAGCACUGUUUCGGCAAGGGGGUCAUCCCGACUUACCAACCCGAUGCAAACUGCGAAUACCGGAGAAUGUUAUCACGGGAGACACACGGCGGGUGCUAACGUCCGUCGUGAAGAGGGAAACAACCCAGACCGCCAGCUAAGGUCCCAAAGUCAUGGUUAAGUGGGAAACGAUGUGGGAAGGCCCAGACAGCCAGGAUGUUGGCUUAGAAGCAGCCAUCAUUUAAAGAAAGCGUAAUAGCUCACUGGUCGAGUCGGCCUGCGCGGAAGAUGUAACGGGGCUAAACCAUGCACCGAAGCUGCGGCAGCGACGCUUAUGCGUUGUUGGGUAGGGGAGCGUUCUGUAAGCCUGCGAAGGUGUGCUGUGAGGCAUGCUGGAGGUAUCAGAAGUGCGAAUGCUGACAUAAGUAACGAUAAAGCGGGUGAAAAGCCCGCUCGCCGGAAGACCAAGGGUUCCUGUCCAACGUUAAUCGGGGCAGGGUGAGUCGACCCCUAAGGCGAGGCCGAAAGGCGUAGUCGAUGGGAAACAGGUUAAUAUUCCUGUACUUGGUGUUACUGCGAAGGGGGGACGGAGAAGGCUAUGUUGGCCGGGCGACGGUUGUCCCGGUUUAAGCGUGUAGGCUGGUUUUCCAGGCAAAUCCGGAAAAUCAAGGCUGAGGCGUGAUGACGAGGCACUACGGUGCUGAAGCAACAAAUGCCCUGCUUCCAGGAAAAGCCUCUAAGCAUCAGGUAACAUCAAAUCGUACCCCAAACCGACACAGGUGGUCAGGUAGAGAAUACCAAGGCGCUUGAGAGAACUCGGGUGAAGGAACUAGGCAAAAUGGUGCCGUAACUUCGGGAGAAGGCACGCUGAUAUGUAGGUGAAGCGACUUGCUCGUGGAGCUGAAAUCAGUCGAAGAUACCAGCUGGCUGCAACUGUUUAUUAAAAACACAGCACUGUGCAAACACGAAAGUGGACGUAUACGGUGUGACGCCUGCCCGGUGCCGGAAGGUUAAUUGAUGGGGUUAGCGGUAACGCGAAGCUCUUGAUCGAAGCCCCGGUAAACGGCGGCCGUAACUAUAACGGUCCUAAGGUAGCGAAAUUCCUUGUCGGGUAAGUUCCGACCUGCACGAAUGGCGUAAUGAUGGCCAGGCUGUCUCCACCCGAGACUCAGUGAAAUUGAACUCGCUGUGAAGAUGCAGUGUACCCGCGGCAAGACGGAAAGACCCCGUGAACCUUUACUAUAGCUUGACACUGAACAUUGAGCCUUGAUGUGUAGGAUAGGUGGGAGGCUUUGAAGUGUGGACGCCAGUCUGCAUGGAGCCGGCCUUGAAAUACCACCCUUUAAUGUUUGAUGUUCUAACGUUGGCCCCUGAUCGGGGUUGCGGACAGUGUCUGGUGGGUAGUUUGACUGGGGCGGUCUCCUCCUAAAGAGUAACGGAGGAGCACGAAGGUUGGCUAAUCCUGGUCGGACAUCAGGAGGUUAGUGCAAUGGCAUAAGCCAGCUUGACUGCGAGCGUGACGGCGCGAGCAGGUGCGAAAGCAGGUCAUAGUGAUCCGGUGGUUCUGAAUGGAAGGGCCAUCGCUCAACGGAUAAAAGGUACUCCGGGGAUAACAGGCUGAUACCGCCCAAGAGUUCAUAUCGACGGCGGUGUUUGGCACCUCGAUGUCGGCUCAUCACAUCCUGGGGCUGAAGUAGGUCCCAAGGGUAUGGCUGUUCGCCAUUUAAAGUGGUACGCGAGCUGGGUUUAGAACGUCGUGAGACAGUUCGGUCCCUAUCUGCCGUGGGCGCUGGAGAACUGAGGGGGGCUGCUCCUAGUACGAGAGGACCGGAGUGGACGCAUCACUGGUGUUCGGGUUGUCAUGCCAAUGGCACUGCCCGGUAGCUAAAUGCGGAAGAGAUAAGUGCUGAAAGCAUCUAAGCACGAAACUUGCCCCGAGAUGAGUUCUCCCUGAGACUUUAAGUCUCCUGAAGGAACGUUGAAGACGACGACGUUGAUAGGCCGGGUGUGUAAGCGCAGCGAUGCGUUGAGCUAACCGGUACUAAUGAACCGUGAGG